CUAAUCACAACUGUAAAUUCCAGGCCAACUGUUCACCCAUCUUGCUCUCUGCUCUGAAUGUCCUCCUCCUCCUUCAACUUCAGUUGCUCUUAACUAGUACUUCCGAUGUGUGAAAUGCCUUAUGAUCUUAUCUCUAUCAUUCCGCACCUGCCCUGCAAGCUUUGCACAGUGAAACAGACAGCUAGUGAGACAGAUGAUUCAUGAAUAUCAUUGAACAGUCUUGGCAGCAUUCCAAAGGCAUGCGAAAUCAACUCUUGCUAUUCUGGCCAGAUCUGGGUAAAACAGGCUGGAUGGUUGUCCUGCCUGCAACAUAUCCUGCAACUUUAUUU